rnacentral:snRNA from 1 species
UCGAACCGCUGUUCCCUUCGGAUA